UGGGGAAUUUUGGACAAUGGGCGAAAGCCUGAUCCAGCAAUGCCGCGUGUGUGAAGAAGGCCUUCGGGUUGUAAAGCACUUUUGUCCGGAAAGAAAUCCUUGGCUCUAAUACAGUCGGGGGAUGACGGUACCGGAAGAAUAAGCACCGGCUAACUACGUGCCAGCAGCCGCGGUAAUACGUAGGGUGCAAGCGUUAAUCGGAAUUACUGGGCGUAAAGCGUGCGCAGGCGGUUUGCUAAGACCGAUGUGAAAUCCCGGGCUCAACCUGGGAACUGCAUUGGUGACUGGCAGGCUAGAGUAUGGCAGAGGGGGGUUAGAAUUCCACGUGUAGCAGUGAAAUGCGUAGAGAUGUGGAGGAAUACCGAUGGCGAAGGCAGCCCCCUGGGCCAAUACUGACGCUCAUGCACGAAAGCGUGGGGAGCAAACAGGAUUAGAUACCCCUGGUAGUCCACGCCCUAAACGAUGUCAACUAGUUGUUGGGGAUUCAUUUCCUUAGUAACGUAGCUAACGCGUGAAGUUGACCGCCUGGGGAGUACGGUCGCAAGAUUAAAACUCAAUGAAUUGACGGGGUCAUAGCUGUUUCCU
rnacentral:rRNA from 1 species